AAAACUUUCAACAACGGAUCUCUUGGUUCCCGCAUCGAUGAAGAACGCAGCGAAAUGCGAAAAUUAAUGUGAAUUGCAGAAUUCCGUGAAUCAUCGAGUCUUUGAACGCACAUUGCGCCCUUUGGUAUUCCGAAGGGCAUGUCUGUUCGAGCGUC
rnacentral:rRNA from 1 species